rnacentral:ncRNA from 1 species
UUAUUAUUCCUUGGGAUUGGCUUUGGACUUUUCUUGCGUAGCUUAGGUGGAAGGCAAAGAAGGCCUCCUUCCGAAGGGGCCUGUGUCAUUAGUGAGAUACCAUUCUGGAAUAGCCAAGGGACAAUUUCAGGUAGACAAUUUCUAUAGGGUGUAGGCUCCCAAAAGGUAACGAAGGCAUGCAAAGGUUUCCUUGGGUCAGACGGAGAUUAACCCUCAAGUUCAAAGGUAAAAGAGAGCUUCACUGCAAGACCCACCUGUGUUGGGAUGAAAGUCGGCCUUAGUGAUUCUACGGUGCCAAGUGGAAAGGUCCUCGCUCAAUUGAUAAA